rnacentral:rRNA from 1 species
UAACACAUGCAAGUCGAACGAGCGAGAGAGAGUUUACUUUUUCGAGCGAGUGGCGAACGGGUGAGUAACGCGUGAGGAACCUGCCUCAAAGAGGGGGACAACAGUUGGAAACGACUGCUAAUACCGCAUAAGCCCACGGCUCGGCAUCGAGCAGAGGGAAAAGGAGCAAUCCGCUUUGAGAUGGCCUCGCGUCCGAUUAGCUAGUUGGUGAGGUAACGGCCCACCAAGGCGACGAUCGGUAGCCGGACUGAGAGGUUGAACGGCCACAUUGGGACUGAGACACGGCCCAGACUCCUACGGGAGGCAGCAGUGGGGAAUAUUGCACAAUGGGGGAAACCCUGAUGCAGCGAUGCCGCGUGGAGGAAGAAGGUCUUCGGAUUGUAAACUCCUGUUGUUGAGGAAGAUAAUGACGGUACUCAACAAGGAAGUGACGGCUAACUACGUGCCAGCAGCCGCGGUAAAACGUAGGUCACAAGCGUUGUCCGGAAUUACUGGGUGUAAAGGGAGCGCAGGCGGGAAGACAAGUUGGAAGUGAAAUCCAUGGGCUCAACCCAUGAACUGCUUUCAAAACUGUUUUUCUUGAGUAGUGCAGAGGUAGGCGGAAUUCCCGGUGUAGCGGUGGAAUGCGUAGAUAUCGGGAGGAACACCAGUGGCGAAGGCGGCCUACUGGGCACCAACUGACGCUGAGGCUCGAAAGUGUGGGUAGCAA